rnacentral:rRNA from 1 species
GUCGAACGGAUACCCCCAUGACUUUGGUGCUUGCACCUUAUAAUUGGAUUUUGGUAUCAGUGGCGAACGGGUGAGUAACACGUGGGUAACCUGCCCCUUAGUUGAGGAUAACUAUUGGAAACGAUAGCUAAUACUGAAUACGAUAUAUCUUCGCAUGAAUUUAUAUUAAAAGGAGCUUCGGCUUCGCUAAGGGAUGGACCUGCGGUGCAUUAGCUAGUUGGUGUGAUAAAAGCGCACCAAGGCGACGAUGCAUAGCCGGGCUGAGAGGCUGAACGGCCACAUUGGGACUGAGACACGGCCCAAACUUCUACGGAAGGCUGCAGUAGGGAAUUUUUCGCAAUGGACGAAAGUCUGACGAAGCAAUGCCGCGUGAGGGAUGACGGUUUUCGGAUUGUAAACCUCUGUUAUAAGAGAAGAACACUAGGUAUAGGAAAUGAUAUCUAGCUGACGUAUCUUAUCAGAAAGGGACGCUAACUACGUGCCAGCAGCCGCGGUAAUACGUA